rnacentral:lncRNA from 1 species
CGGAAGUAAACAAAAAACAGUAUGUUAAAAUAUUGGAGGCAUUUUCUCUUUAUUAGCGUAAAGACUUGAAACAAUACUGAAUGCAAGAGAACGAUGAUACAUUACAGACUGUCUUCUAAGUUGACUGCGGAAAGUGCAAAACUAUUAUCAGCAUGAUGUUGUGUUCAGUUACUGCACAUUGCAAAGUGAAUGUUCUCAGCGACUGUUACUGCAAUGAUUCACUUGAAAUGAUAUUUCCCACCACCAACUGAUGGUUUGUGAGUGGAGGUUGUCAGCUACUUGCAGAGAGUUCUAACUUAGUCCAUUAAGCACUAGACACAUUGGAUACAGCCAUGAAACAAAUUACUGAUAGAUGUAUGAAAAACAGACAAAAAGUUUCAACAGAUUCAAAGAGUGGGUAAAACCGAAUCUUCAAAACAAA